UGACCUCGGAUCAGGUAGGACUACCCGCUGAACUUAAGCAUAUCAAUAAGCGGAGGAAAAGAAACCAACAGGGAUUGCCCCAGUAACGGCGAGUGAAGCGGCAACAGCUCAAAUUUGAAAUCUGGCUUCGGCCCGAGUUGUAAUUUGGAGAGGAUGCUUUGGGCGCGGCGCCUUCCGAGUUCCUUGGAACAGGACGCCAGAGAGGGUGAGAGCCCCGUACGGUUGGACUCCAAGCCUAUGUAAAGCUCCUUCGACGAGUCGAGUAGUUUGGGAAUGCUGCUCAAAAUGGGAGGUAAAUUUCUUCUAAAGCUAAAUACCGGCCAGAGACCGAUAGCGCACAAGUAGAGUGAUCGAAAGAUGAAAAGCACUUUGAAAAGAGGGUUAAACAGUACGUGAAAUUGUUGAAAGGGAAGCGCCUAUGACCAGACUUGCGCCCCGCGAACCACCCGGCGUUCUCGCCGGUGCACUUCGCGGGAUGCAGGCCAGCAUCGGUUUUCUUAGGGGGAUAAAGGCCGCGGGAACGUAGCUCUUUCGGGAGUGU
rnacentral:rRNA from 1 species